rnacentral:rRNA from 1 species
AUUGAACGCUGGCGGCAUGCUUUACACAUGCAAGUCGAACGGUAACAGGCCUUCGGGUGCUGACGAGUGGCGCACGGGUGAGUAAUGCAUCGGAACGUACCCAGAGGUGGGGGAUAACGCAGCGAAAGCUGUGCUAAUACCGCAUGUGAUCUGAGGAUGAAAGCGGGGGACCGAGCAGCAAUGUUUGGCCUCGCGCCUUUGGAGCGGCCGAUGUCGGAUUAGCUAGUUGGUGGGGUAAAGGCCUACCAAGGCGACGAUCCGUAGCUGGUCUGAGAGGACGACCGGCCACACUGGGACUGAGACACGGCCCAGACUCCUACGGGAGGCAGCAGUGGGGAAUUUUGGACAAUGGGCGCAAGCCUGAUCCAGCAAUGCCGCGUGCGGGAAGAAGGCCUUCGGGUUGUAAACCGCUUUUGGCAGGAACGAAACGGUGUCCGCUAAUACCGGGCGCUAAUGACGGUACCUGCAGAAUAAGCACCGGCUAACUACGUG